UACGGGGGGGGCAAGCGUUGUUCGGAAUUACUGGGCGUAAAGGGCUCGUAGGUGGCCAACUAAGUCAGACGUGAAAUCCCCAGGCUCAACUUGGGAACUGCGUCUGAUACUGGAUGGCUUGAAUUCGGGAGAGGGAUGCAGAAUUCCAGGUGUAGCGGUGAAAUGCGUAGAUAUCGGGAGGAACACCAGUGGCGAAGGCGGCGAUCUGGGCUGAUACUGACGCUGAGGUGCGAAAGCGUGGGGAGCAAACAGG
rnacentral:rRNA from 1 species